UACAGAGGGGGCGAGCGUUGUUCGGAAUCACUGGGCGUAAAGGGCGCGUAGGCGGCCCUCUUAGUCGCGUGUGAAAGCCCCGGGCUCAACCUGGGAACGGCGCGCGAAACGGGAGGGCUGGAGUUCGGGAGAGGAGAGUGGAAUUCCCAGUGUAGAGGUGAAAUUCGUAGAUAUUGGGAAGAACACCAGUGGCGAAGGCGGCUAACUGGUCCAGAUCUGACGCUGAGGUGCGAAAGCGUGGGGAGCAAACAGG
rnacentral:rRNA from 1 species